rnacentral:rRNA from 1 species
UGGCCGCAGUAAUUUGACUGUGCAAAGGUAGCAUAAUCAUUAGUUUUUUAAUUGAAAGCUUGUAUGAAGGGCUGGACGAGGUAAAAUCUGUCUCUAAUAAAUUUAAUUUAGAAUUUAACUUUUAAGUCAAAAGGCUUAAAUAAUAUUAAAAGACGAGAAGACCCUAUAGAUCUUUAUAAUUAAAAUAUUAAAAUUAAUUAGGAAUUUUUAAAAUUUUAUUUAUUUAAUUAUUUUAUUGGGGUAAUAUAAAGAUUUAAAUAAUUCUUUUUUUUUAUUUACAUAAAUUUAUGAAUUUAUGAUCCAAUUAUAUUGAUUAUAAGAUUAAGUUACCUUAGGGAUAACAGCGUAAUUUUUUUAGAGAGUUCUUAUCGAUAAAAAAGUUUGCGACCUCGAUGUUGGAUUAAAGAUUAUUUCAGGUGUAGAAGUUUGAAAAUUUUGGUCUGUUCGACCAUUAAAUCUUUACAUGAUCUGAGUUCAGACCGGCGUAAGCCAGGUCGGUUUCUAUCUUUAAUAAAUUAUAAUAUUUUAGUACGAAAGGACCAAUUAUUUAAUACAAGGUAUUUUAAUUUUGAUUAUUAUUA